CUGGAGGCUGCGCUUACUGGCAUGGAUCUUAUUAUAGUCCCUGCAGGUGUUCCUCGAAAACCAGGAAUGACGAGGGAUGAUCUGUUCAAAAUAAACGCAGGAAUUGUCAAGACUCUGUGUGAAGGGAUUGCAAAGUGUUGUCCAAGAGCCAUUGUCAACCUGAUCAGUAAUCCUGUGAACUCCACCGUGCCCAUCGCAGCUGAAGUUUUCAAGAAGGCUGGAACUUAUGAUCCAAAGCGACUUCUGGGAGUUACAAUGCUCGACGUAGUCAGAGCCAAUACCUUUGUGGCAGAAGUAUUGGGUCUUGAUCCUCGGGAUGUUGAUGUUCCAGUUGUUGGCGGUCAUGCUGGUGUAACCAUUUUGCCCCUUCUAUCUCAGGUGAAGCCUCCAAGUUCUUUCACACAAGAAGAGAUUAGUUACCUGACUGAUAGGAUUCAAAAUGGUGGAACAGAAGUUGUCGAGGCCAAAGCAGGAGCUGGUUCAGCAACUCUCUCAAUGGCUUAUGCUGCCGUUAAGUUUGCAGAUGCAUGCCUCAGGGGCUUAAGAGGAGAUGCUGGUGUCAUUGAAUGCGCGUUUGUGUCUUCUCAGGUGACUGAACUUCCAUUCUUUGCAUCAAAAGUACGACUUGGUCGCAAUGGUAUCGAAGAAGUAUACUCCCUUGGCCCGCUAAAUGAGUAUGAGAG
rnacentral:misc_RNA from 1 species